CUCUUCUUGUUUAAAUUUAUGAAGUAUAACCUGCCCACUGAAAUAUAUUAUUGAAGGGCCGCGGUAUUUUGACCGUGCAAAGGUAGCAUAAUCAUUAGUCUUUUAAUUGGAGACUGGAAUGAAUGGUUGGACGAGGAAUAUACUGUUUCUUAAUAAUGGUUAUUUGAAUUUAAAUUUUAAGUUAAAAUUCUUAAAUUUUAUUAUGGGACGAGAAGACCCUAUAGAGUUUAAUAAAUUUUGUUGUUGUUUUGUUUGGUAUAGUUUUAAUUACUUUAAAAUUUGUUUUGUUGGGGUGAUGGGAAUUAUGGAAUUAAUAAACUCUUUCUUUUAUUAAUAUAUUUAUUUGUAAUUUUAUGAUCCAUUUUUGUUGAUUAUAAGACUAAAUUACCUUAGGGAUAACAGCGUAAUCUUUUUUGAGAGUUCUUAUCGAUAAAAGGGUUUGCGA
rnacentral:rRNA from 1 species